GAUGAACGCUGGCGGCGUGCCUAAUACAUGCAAGUCGAGCGAACAGACGAGGAGCUUGCUCCUCUGACGUUAGCGGCGGACGGGUGAGUAACACGUGGAUAACCUACCUAUAAGACUGGGAUAACUUCGGGAAACCGGAGCUAAUACCGGAUAAUAUAUUGAACCGCAUGGUUCAAUAGUGAAAGACGGUUUUGCUGUCACUUAUAGAUGGAUCCGCGCCGCAUUAGCUAGUUGGUAAGGUAACGGCUUACCAAGGCAACGAUGCGUAGCCGACCUGAGAGGGGGAACGGCCACACGGGAAGUGAGACCGGGUCCAGACUCCUAGGGGAGGCAGCAGGGGGGAAUCUUCCACAAUGGGCGAACGUGAGACGGAGCAACGCCGCGUGGGUGAUGAAGGUCUCCGGAUCUUAAAACUCUGUUAUUAGGGAAGAACAAAUGUGGAAGAAACUGUGCACAUCUUGACGGUACCUAAUCAGAAAGCCCCGGCUAACUACGUG
rnacentral:rRNA from 1 species